ensembl:lncRNA
AACAGCCACAGCAUAGAUCAAAGAAAUCCUGUGAUUCCCCUUCAAAAUUCUUGACAAGCAGUCUAGAUUUUGAGGUAUGGGCAGACUCAGCAUUGCAUUCUGUCAUGGAAAGUUCUCACCUCGGAGGCUGCGGCAUGCCUUCGACAAGUGGCCAGGGGAUCCAGACAGAGCCAGCCCAGUCACCACUGUUUUUAUACAUAGACUUUCAGGGCCUAGUUGGAGUGCCACUGAACCGUGGUCCACGCAGACAAACUGAGUGACAAGACCUGCCACACAAUACUGCUCAUAUUUAUGCAGAGGGUUAACAUCUUGCCCUCUGUGAAUGUGCACACCAGAGGCAGGAAGAGUUCAGAGGGCUCUCAAUGAACAGUGGACCCCAUCUUGUUGUCACCCUCCAUCCCCUCCUUCCCAAGUGUCUCCACAGC